AUACAUGUGUGUACGUAUACGAUCAGAAGAAGGAGCCAGGAGAGCUCAAACCCUAGUUCAGCAAAUCCUCCAAAUCGAAGCUCAAAUCAAGCCCGAAUCGUCUGCAUGAUUACAAAUUCCUGAUCGCCUAGUCGUGGGGAUCAUAAGUUGACUCUAAACAAGCUAGGUGGGAGCUUGAAAAGGAACGGGUCAAACGGAUCAUGGAUGCGAAGAAUGUUUGCGCGGACGCGAGGUACAUUUUGGAUGCCGGAAGACGAUCAAGCUCGACGAAGGACCGAACACAAUAUAGAUACAUGCUUCCGCACUUUAACACUUUGCAAAUUUUAAACAACGAAUUCAACCACGUUAUGUAGAAUAACUUAUGAAUUGUAAAAGUUUUAAUAAAUUCGUAUUUUUAUAGUAUGUGUAGGCUUAACUACACAUCUAAUUGUUGGCGUUUACAUAUAAAAUUGUUAAUUAGUAA